rnacentral:rRNA from 1 species
AGAGUUUGAUUCUGGCUCAGGAUGAACGCUGGCGGCGUGCCUAACACAUGCAAGUCGAACGGAGUUAUGCAGAGGAAGUUUUCGGAUGGAAUCGGCGUAACUUAGUGGCGGACGGGUGAGUAACGCGUGGGAAACCUGCCCUGUACCGGGGGAUAACACUUAGAAAUAGGUGCUAAUACCGCAUAAGCGCACAGCUUCACAUGAGGCAGUGUGAAAAACUCCGGUGGUACAGGAUGGUCCCGCGUCUGAUUAGCCAGUUGGCAGGGUAACGGCCUACCAAAGCGACGAUCAGUAGCCGGCCUGAGAGGGUGAACGGCCACAUUGGGACUGAGACACGGCCCAAACUCCUACGGGAGGCAGCAGUGGGGAAUAUUGCACAAUGGGGGAAACCCUGAUGCAGCGACGCCGCGUGAGUGAAGAAGUAUUUCGGUAUGUAAAGCUCUAUCAGCAGGGAAGAAAAUGACGGUACCUGACUAAGAAGCCCCGGCUAACUACGUGCCAGCAGCCGCGGUAAUACGUAGGGGACAAGCGUUAUCCGGAUUUACUGGGUGUAAAGGGAGCGUAGAAGGCAUGACAAGCCAGAUGUGAAAACCCAGGGCUCAACCCUGGGACUGCAUUUGGAACUGCCAGGCUGGAGUGCAGGAGAGGUAAGCGGAAUUCCUAGUGUAGCGGUGAAAUGCGUAGAUAUUAGGAGGAACACCAGUGGCGAAGGCGGCUUACUGGACUGUAACUGACGUUGAGGCUCGAAAGCGUGGGGAGCAAACAGGAUUAGAUACCCUGGUAGUCCACGCGGUAAACGAUCUUAAAGAGGUGUAGGUGGGUAUGGACCCCAUCGGUGCCGCAGGUAACGCAAUAAGCAAUCCACCUGGGGGGUACGUUCGCAAGAAGAAAAUUCAAAGGAAUUGACGGGGCCCCGCACAAGCGGUGGAGCAUGUGGUUUAAUUCGAAGCAACGCGAAGAACCUUACCAAGUCUUGACAUCCCAAUGACGUGCCCGUAACGGGGCAUUCUCUUCUGAGCAUUGGAGACAGGUGGUGCAUGGUUGUCGUCAGCUCGUGUCGUGAGAUGUUGGGUUAAGUCCCGCAACGAGCGCAACCCUUAUCCUUAGUAGCCAGCAGGUAAAGCUGGGCACUCUAGGGAGACUGCCGGGGAUAACCCGGAGGAAGGCGGGGAGGACGUCAAAUCAUCAUGCCCCCUAUGAUUUGGGCUACACACGUGCUACAAUGGCGUAAACAAAGGGAAGCGAGACAGUGAUGUUGAGCAAAUCCCAGAAAUAACGUCUCAGUUCGGAUUGUAGUCUGCAACUCGACUACAUGAAGCUGGAAUCGCUAGUAAUCGCGAAUCAGCAUGUCGCGGUGAAUAAAAUCCCGGGUCUUGCACA